rnacentral:rRNA from 1 species
CCCUUAGAUGUUCUGGGCCGCACGCGCGCUACACUGAUUCAUGCAACAAGUUUUGUCCUUGGCUGAUAGGCCUGGGUAAUCUUUGAACGUGAAUCGUGAUGGGGAUAGAUGAUUGCAAUUAUUCAUCUUCAACGAGGAAUUCCUAGUAAACGCAAGUCAUCAGCUUGCAUUGAUUACGUCCCUGCCCUUUGUACACACCGCCCGUCGCACCUACCGAUUGGAUGGUCCGGUGAAAUCUUCGGAUCUGAGAGAUGUCUGAUUAAUUUCGGACGCCUUUUGGAAAAGUUGUUUAAACCUUACCAUUUAGAGGAAGGUGAAGUCGUAACA